rnacentral:ribozyme from 1 species
GAUGACUAAGAAAAAAAUGCGAAAAAAGAUGGAAUGAAUUGGGAUGGUUGGCAUUUAUCUUUUCCUUUACUUCGAAUGCGUUUGUCGUUUUCAUGGCUUUUUCUUUCCUUUCCUUUUUU